rnacentral:rRNA from 1 species
AGAGUUUGAUCCCGAACGCUGGCGGCAGGCUUAACACAUGCAAGUCGAGCGCCCUGUUUACAGGGAGCGGCAGACGGGUGAGUAACGCGUGGGAAUGUGCCUUUUGGUUCGGAAUAGCCCCGGGAAACUGGGAGUAAUACCGGAUAAGCCCUUCGGGGGAAAGAUUUAUCGCCAAAAGAUCAGCCCGCGUUAGAUUAGCUAGUUGGUGAGGUAACGGCUCACCAAGGCGACGAUCUAUAGCUGGUCUGAGAGGACGACCAGCCACACUGGAACUGAGACACGGUCCAGACUCCUACGGGAGGCAGCAGUGGGGAAUCUUGGACAAUGGGCGAAAGCCUGAUCCAGCCAUGCCGCGUGAAUGAUGAAGGCCUUAGGGUUGUAAAAUUCUUUCAGCAAGGAAGAUAAUGACGGUACCUGCAAAAGAAGCCCCGGCUAACUUCGUGCCAGCAGCCGCGGUAAUACGAAGGGGGCUAGCGUUGUUCGGAAUUACUGGGCGUAAAGCGCGCGUAGGCGGGUUAUUAAGUCAGAUGUGAAAUCCCAGGGCUCAACCCUGGAACUGCAUUUGAAACUGAUAGCCUAGAGUUCAGGAGAGGUUAGCGGAAUACCGAGUGUAGAGGUGAAAUUCGUAGAUAUUCGGUGGAACACCAGUGGCGAAGGCGGCUAACUGGACUGAUACUGACGCUGAGGUGCGAAAGUGUGGGGAGCAAACAGGAUUAGAUACCCUGGUAGUCCACACCGUAAACGAUGAGUGCUAGUUGUCUGCAGGCAUGCCUGUAGGUGACGCAGCUAACGCAUUAAGCACUCCGCCUGGGGAGUACGGCCGCAAGGUUAAAACUCAAAGAAAUUGACGGGGGCCCGCACAAGCGGUGGAGCAUGUGGUUUAAUUCGAAGCAACGCGCAGAACCUUACCUACGCUUGACAUGCCCGGACGAUUUCCAGAGAUGGAUUUUCUUCAUUUAGUUGGUCGGUGCACAGGUGCUGCAUGGCUGUCGUCAGCUCGUGUCGUGAGAUGUUGGGUUAAGUCCCGCAACGAGCGCAACCCUCAUCCUUAGUUGCCAUCACGUUUGGGUGGGCACUCUAGUGGGACCGCCGGUGUCAAACCGGAGGAAGGUGGGGAUGACGUCAAGUCCUCAUGGCCCUUACGCGCAGGGCUACACACGUGCUACAAUGGCAGUGACAAUGGGAUAAUCCCCAAAAACUGUCUCAGUUCGGAUUGUCGUCUGCAACUCGACGGCAUGAAGUUGGAAUCGCUAGUAAUCGUGGAUCAGCAUGCCACGGUGAAUACGUUCCCGGGCCUUGUACACACCGCCCGUCACAUCAUGGGAGUUGGUUCUACCCGAAGAUCGUGCGCUAACUUCGGAGGCAGCGAGCCACGGUAGGAUCAGCGACUGGGAUGAAGUCGUAACAAGGUAACC